CCGAGUGCAGAGCCAGGGCCCAGCACGCAGGCCUUGGGCUCCAGUCCGUGUGCCCCACAUAUCCCUACAUGAGUGAGGGUGGAGGGAUGGUGCCUCUGCCACGGCCACGGUGCCACCGUCCACGUCAGCUCACUCUCAGCACAGAUGCUGUGUGACGGCCUCGGGCCACGCCGCUUGUUCUGAGGCCCCUAGCAGGUCGGGCUUGCGCUGGCUGCACAUUGACUGGCUGGUGAGCUUGGCGGGUCUGUGGGCACGGAGAGACCAGAACGUGCAUAACAGGCCCGAUGAGGGUGCCAGGCUGCGGCGACCCCCGAGCUUCAGAGGAGAGGGGCACCAGCUGGGGGCCCUGCACAGACAGCCUCAUCAGAGAGAGGAAAGCUCACGACCUGGGAGAACUCCAGGCCUGGCCCAGCGAAGACGUCCUUAUCUUCAGCAGACAUUGCCCAGUGCAAGGGGAGGCCCAGGCACAGGCCCCAGUGCACACGCAGAUCCCACCGUGUCUGCACAAGGCCUUGCCCCAACGAGGCCUGGGUGCCGUGUGAGGGCCGGGACGCUAACACAGCGGAGGGUACCCACGCGUGAGCUGCUCUGGGGUCCCUCCCCAUGUUUCUUCGGGUAAUGAAACUUGUACCCAAAUGGGAUAUGCAGGGUUGCACUGUGCAGUCGCUGUGUGUUUUCGGGUCUCAUCCCCGUGUGCCAGCAGGACCACAGCUGUGACCGGCUGCUCCGGAAGAAGUGGGUGGGUUGAGACCCCACCGGCAGGGCCACUGGGGGCAGCAGGCCCUCUGUCAGCACUGACCUCUGUAUCAUGUCAGGGAUUUUUAGGGCGGCAAGCUCAGGUGGACAGGCAGUUUUAUUCUGUUUCCCAUGUCAAGUCCAGCCCCAGACUGACUUUCUGAGGUCACAGACGGAGCCUCACCCCAUCCAAGGCGGUGUCCUGGACUCCCACUGUGCUCCCCAGAGGGCAGGGGGUACCUGGGGCCCAGCCUGGGCGGCAGGAGGGACUCAGCCCCUCGCCCAGGCAGGAAGGGUCCCAAGCAGAGGCCCCUCCCUCAGGCACUCCCCAGCCCACACCUGCAGCACUGGGACCAAGACUAAUAAAACACCCGCCUCACGGAAGACAGCUUUAUCUUGUUGAUCGGAAGUCUGCCAGCCCAAUUUAUGAUGGAACAUAAGAUCUCUAAAUCUGAAUUUACGCGCUGUAGCGUAACGAGAGAUCAAUAAGAUUAAACGGGGGCUCAGGAGAGGACCAGCGUCAGGCUCACUGCGAGGUGCUGCACAGAAAACCCACAGCCAGAGCCCCUGGGCCCAGCCCAGGCAAGACCAGAAAAGGAGGGGGCAGGUGGGAGACCAGCCUGGGGCUCCCGGGAAGCCCACGGGAUGGAGGCGGGAGAGCCAGGAGGCCUGGGGCAACCCUGGGACCAUUCCUGGAUCGAGGAGAGCAGGGGGGUGAUGAGGGUUCCCUCAGGGCUGGGGAGCCUUCUCCUGGUCUCAGACCCACCCCCCUUCAGCUCCCAAGACCUGGGUGCCCCUGGCUCUGAGGACAGUUGGGAAUCUUCCCUGAGGCAUGUUCAAGGACAGAGCUCUGACCCUGGCCCAGGGCUGCUUUGGGUGCCCAUGAACUCGGCUUCUGGCUCAGAGCAGUUCCCUGCACCCCUUCCUGAGCCCUCUGUCCUCUGGAACCCGUGGGCAGGGUGAGGGACGGGUGUUCCGUCUGGGUGGGGGCCUGGGCGCCCAGCCAGCACGAGGCUGGCUUGCUGAGCUUAGGGCAGACCCCGACUUCAGAAUUUAUACAAAUAAAUGCAAUGAAAAGUGCUGGC
rnacentral:lncRNA from 1 species